GAUGAACGCUGGCGGCGUGCCUAAUACAUGCAAGUCGAGCGAACAGACGAGGAGCUUGCUCCUCUGACGUUAGCGGCGGACGGGUGAGUAACACGUGGAUAACCUACCUAUAAGACUGGGAUAACUUCGGGAAACCGGAGCUAAUACCGGAUAAUAUAUUGAACCGCAUGGUUCAAUAGUGAAAGACGGUUUUGCUGUCACUUAUAGAUGGAUCCGCGCCGCAUUAGCUAGUUGGUAAGGUAACGGCUUACCAAGGCGACGAUGCGUAGCCGACCUGAGAGGGUGAUCGGACACACUGGAACUGAGAAACGGUCCAGACUCCUACGGGAGGAAGCAGUAGGGAAUCUUCCGCAAUGGGCGAAAGCCUGACGGAGCAACGCCGCGUGAGUGAUGAAGGUCUUCGGAUCGUAAAACUCUGUUAUUAGGGAAGAACAAAUGUGUAAGUAACUAUGCACGUCUUGACGGUACCUAAUCAGAAAGCCACGGCUAACUACGUG
rnacentral:rRNA from 1 species